UUCUCUUUACUCUUUAGAUUGGCAUCUAUAAACCGACAAAUUCACUGGAUUAGCUCGUUGCUUACUGGAAACAGAAGAAUCAAGGGCAUGUCUUCCAAUUCUUCUCUGCUUAUGCUGCUGCUUUUACUCGCAAUUUCUUUAGCCACCAAACCAAGAAUCACAGAUGCAAGAACGCUUUCUUUCCUAGCUAAACAAAAUCAUUCCGAGAUUUUAACAAAUCUGGGAGUUGUUUGCAAGUGCUGUGAUGGCGGCCAAGGUGAAUGUACAGCAACAUGGAAGAAGGGAUCUUGCCACAAGCUCCAAUGCCUUCCUUGGAAAAUAGGCUAAAAUUUACUUUUCUUUCAAUUUCUUGUUUUUUUUUCCAAAGUGCCCAUUUUGGUCAAUGAAGUAAAGUUUUUGAAC